UGGGGAAUUUUGGACAAUGGGCGCAAGCCUGAUCCAGCCAUGCCGCGUGCGGGAAGAAGGCCUUCGGGUUGUAAACCGCUUUUGUCAGGGAAGAAAUCUUCUGAGUUAAUACCUCGGGAGGAUGACGGUACCUGAAGAAUAAGCACCGGCUAACUACGUGCCAGCAGCCGCGGUAAUACGUAGGGUGCAAAGCGUUAAUCGGAAUUACUGGGCGUAAAAGCGUGCGCAGGCGGUUUUGUAAGACAGAGGUGAAAUCCCCGGGCUCAACCUGGGAACUGCCUUUGUGACUGCAAGGCUUGAGUGCGGCAGAGGGGGGAUGGAAUUCCGCGUGUAGCAGUGAAAAUGCGUAGAUAUGCGGAGGAAACACCGAUGGCGAAAGGCAAAUCCCCUGGGCCUGCACUGACGCUCAUGCACGAAAAGCGUGGGAG
rnacentral:rRNA from 1 species